rnacentral:lncRNA from 1 species
UAUUAUACCCGAGCAUGGGCAGUCAGGCCCGGCCGGUCCGACCCGACCCUGUCCAAAAAUCUCUGGCCGGGUCAGGUCUAUUUGUGCCAUCGGACCGGGCUCGGGUCGAAAAGUUGAGCCCGAUGGUGAGGUCUGGCCGGGCUCAGGCCUAUUAAAAACAAAAUUAAGCCGCGGUUGGGUUGAGCCGGUCGGGGACAAAUGGGCUUUUUGGAUCUCCGGCCGGGAUUGGGCCCUUCAGACGAUCGGGCCGGACCGGGCUUGGGCCUAGGUUUCAGCACCGUCUUUUUUGGCCGAGGCCGAACAAUGGCCACGUAGUGCUAAGGACAACUCCAAGGCUUCAAAUAUUCCAUCUUCGUCCAACGCGCGCAAGCAUACAGAUCAAUGUCCGUUUUUGGCUCAUUGUUGAUUCAUUUUCGAUCCAACUUUGUAUUGCGUUUGCGAUCAAACGAACAAGCGCGGAUGGGUGCAACGCAUGCCGUUAUACUCCUGUGGCCCGUCUGUUGGAGACACAUGCGACCCUUUUUCUAUUUCCCUUCCCUCACUCCAGCCGCAUCCCCGGCCACACCCCUAUCGUCCCUAGCAGCCACCGUCGCCAUUUUUCUCGGUCGUGUCCUUGUCCAGCUCAGCCACGCGCGCCCCGUGAUACGUCUCUAAUG